UCCCUGCCCUUUGUACACACCGCCCGUCGCUACUACCGAUUGAAUGGCUUAGUGAGGUCUUCGGAUCGGCUUUGGGGAGCCGGCAACGGCACCUCAUUGCUGAGAAGUUGAUCAAACUUGGUCAUUUAGAGGAAGUAAAAGUCGUAACAAGGUUUCCGUAGGUGAACCUGCGGAAGGAUCAUUAACGAAUCAAACAAGUUCAUCUUGUUCUGAUCCUGUGCACCUUAUGUAGUCCCAAAGCCUUCACGGGCGGCGGUUGACUACGUCUACCUCACACCUUAAAGUAUGUUAACGAAUGUAAUCAUGGUCUUGACAGACCCUAAAAAGUUAAUACAACUUUCGACAACGGAUCUCUUGGCUCUCGCAUCGAUGAAGAACGCAGCGAAAUGCGAUAAGUAAUGUGAAUUGCAGAAUUCAGUGAAUCAUCGAAUCUUUGAACGCACCUUGCGCCCUUUGGUAUUCCGAGGGGCAUGCCUGUUUGAGUGUCAUUAAAUACCAUCAACCCUCUUUUGACUUCGGUCUCGAGAGUGGCUUGGAAGUGGAGGUCUGCUGGAGCCUAACGGAGCCAGCUCCUCUUAAAUGUAUUAGCGGAUUUCCCUUGCGGGAUCGCGUCUCCGAUGUGAUAAUUUCUACGUCGUUGACCAUCUCGGGGCUGACCUAGUCAGUUUCAAUAGGAGUCUGCUUCUAACCGUCUCUUGACCGAGACUAGCGACUUGUGCGCAUAACUUUUGACUUUGACCUCAAAUCAGGUAGGACUACCCGCUGAACUUAAGCAUAUCAAUAAGCGGAGGAAAAGAAACUAACAAGGAUUCCCCUAGUAACUGCGAGUGAAGCGGGAAAAGCUCAAAUUUAAAAUCUGGCGGUCUCCGGCCGUCCGAGUUGUAAUUGAGAAGCGUUAUCCGUGCUGGACCGUGUAUAAGUCUCCUGGAAUGGAGCGUCAUAGAGGGUGAGAAUCCCGUCUUUGACACGGACUACCAGUGCAUUGUGAUGCGCUCUCGACGAGUCGAGUUGUUGGGAAAUGCCA
rnacentral:rRNA from 1 species